rnacentral:rRNA from 1 species
AAGUAUUAAUUUAAAAUUUGAUGAAUAGGGAGUUUUGAUUUAAUUGAAAUAACAUUAAUUAUGUAUGUUUUAGUAUAGUAAUAGAACAAAUUUAUUUAUUUAUAGUGGAGUAGUACUGUGAAGGGAAAUUGAAAAAAGUUGAAAAUAAAUUUUUAGAAAAGUAAAUUAAUAUUGUACCUUGUGUAUCAGGGUUUAUUAAAAUUGGAAUAGAGAUUUAUUUUUCCCGAAUUAAAAAGAGCUAAUUUGUUAUGUUGGUUAGUGUGGUACUAUUAUCAAGAAUAGCAAGUUUGAAAUGAAAUAUUAGUCGGUUUUUAAGAUAUCUGGUUCUUCAAGAAAUGAAUUUAAUUCAGUAUUUAAUAGUA